GGACGAACUGCCGUUGACAAAACGGGAGGAAGGUCGGGGAUGACGUCAAAUCAUCAUGCCCCUUAUGCUCUGGGCUACACACGUGCUACAAUGGUCCGUACAGAGGGCAGCGACCCGGUGACGGGAAGCCAAUCCCUUAAAGCGGAUCUCAGUUCCGGAUUGGCAGGCUGCAACCCGCCUGCAUGAAGUCGGAAUCGCUAGUAAUCGCAGGUCAGCAUACUGCGGUGAAUACGUUCCCGGGCCUU
rnacentral:rRNA from 1 species